rnacentral:rRNA from 1 species
AGAGUUUGAUCAUGGCUCAGAAUCAACGCUGGCGGCGUGCCUAACACAUGCAAGUCGAACGAGAUAGUGACUUCGGUCACUGGAAAGUGGCGUCCGGGUGAGUAACACGUGGGUAAUCUACCCUCGGGUGGGGAAUAACGGAUCGAAAGAUUCGCUAAUACCGCAUAAUGCAGCGGCACCUAAUGGUGAAUAGUUGUUAAAGCGGGGGAUCGCAAGACCUCGCGCCUGAAGAGGAGCCUGCGGCAGAUUAGCUAGUUGGUGAGGUAAUGGCUCACCAAGGCUUCGAUCUGUAGCUGGUCUGAGAGGACGGCCAGCCACACUGGCACUGACACACGGGCCAGACUCCUACGGGAGGCAGCAGUGGGGAAUUUUGGGCAAUGGGCGAAAGCCUGACCCAGCAACGCCGCGUGAGGGAGGAAAUCCUUCGGGAUGUAAACCUCGCAAGCAAGGGAAGACAGCUAGAGAUUUAAUAAAUCUCUAGUCCGACGGUACCUGCG